UGGGCAACCUACCUUAUAGUUUGGGAUAACUCCGGGAAACCGGGGCUAAUACCGAAUAAUCUGUUUCACCUCAUGGUGAAAUGUUGAAAGACGGUUUCGGCUGUCGCUAUAGGAUGGGCCCGCGGCGCAUUAGCUAGUUGGUGAGGUAACGGCUCACCAAGGCGACGAUGCGUAGCCGACC
rnacentral:rRNA from 1 species